rfam:Colinus virginianus strain Texas jcf7180006227153, whole genome shotgun sequence.
GUGGGCUACGGGGACAUGGCGCCCGUGACGGUGGGGGGGAAGCUGGUGGGCUCGCUGUGCGCCAUCGCGGGGGUCCUCACCAUCUCGCUGCCCGUCCCCGUCAUCGUCUCCAAC